CAGCAGCCGCGGUAAUACGGAGGAUCCAAGCGUUAUCCGGAAUCAUUGGGUUUAAAGGGUCCGUAGGCGGUUUAGUAAGUCAGUGGUGAAAGCCCAUCGCUCAACGGUGGAACGGCCAUUGAUACUGCUAAACUUGAAUUAUUAGGAAGUAACUAGAAUAUGUAGUGUAGCGGUGAAAUGCUUAGAGAUUACAUGGAAUACCAAUUGCGAAGGCAGGUUACUACUAAUGGAUUGACGCUGAUGGACGAAAGCGUGGGUAGCGAACAGGAUUAGAUACCCUGGUAGUCCACGCCGUAAACGAUGGAUACUAGCUGUUGGGCGCAAUUUCAGUGGCUAAGCGAAAGUGAUAAGUAUCCACCUGGGGAGUACGUUCG
rnacentral:rRNA from 1 species